rnacentral:lncRNA from 1 species
GUGUGAGAAGCUGCAGCCGCCGGCAGAGGAGACCUCAGCAUCCUCGGGAACCCAGCGCCGGCCCUGCCUCCGCCCGGCCCGCCGCCGCCACCGCCGCCCUUUCGGUUCCUGCUACUGUCUCACCUAAACAACUCCCAUUCAGCGGACAAGCGAAGUUCUAUGACUGUCUUCUCCUCUCCUUCCUCCUCCUCUUCCAACUCCUUCUCCUCCCACUUCCCAACUGCUGUGGAAAGCCCCUAACCCAACAGACGCUGGCAAGGUUGCGGACAAGUGUCAUCUGCACUUUAUCUUGCUGCUCCUCCGGCUGCCCUAAGGCAAAGUUGCAUAGCUCUACAUCUUUCUUCCCCAGCCACCUCCCUCUGCCCCCGAGAGUGUCCCGCUGCCCCGCAGCACUCUCCUGGAACUGCGCCCUAGUGCCCCUGCUGGGCAGUGGCCUUUUCCCCCACCCCAUCCUCCCGCGU